rnacentral:rRNA from 1 species
UAGCCUUGACAUUGAUAGAAUACACCAGAGAUGGAGUAGUGCCUUUCGGGGAACUUGAAAACAGGUGCUGCACGGCUGUCGUCAGCUCGUGUCGUGAGAUGUUGGGUUAAGUCCCGCAACGAGCGCAACCCUCGUCCUUAGUUGCCAGCAGGUUAAGCUGGGCACUCUAAGGAGACUGCCUUCGUAAGGAGGAGGAAGGUGAGGACGACGUCAAGUCAUCAUGGCCCUUAUGGCUAGGGCUACACACGUGCUACAAUGGGGCGUACAGAGUGUUGCGAUACCGCGAGGUGGAGCUAAUCACUUAAAGCGUCUCUCAGUUCGGAUAGCAGUCUGCAACUCGACUGCUUGAAGCUGGAAUCACUAGUAAUCGUAGAUCAGCAAUGCUACGGUGAAUACGUUCCGCGGGUCU